UACAGCGAAACUGCGAAUGGCUCAUUAUAUAAGUUCUCUUAUUUAUUUGAUAGUGCCUUACUACUUGGAUAACCGUGGUAAUUCUAGAGCUAAUACAUGCUAAAAACCCCGACUUCGGAAGGGGUGUAUUUAUUAGAUACAAAACCAAUGCCCUUCGGGGCUCUUUGGUGAUUCAUGAUAACUAUACGAAUCGCACGGCCUUGCGCCGGCGAUGGUUCAUUCAAAUUUCUUCCCUACCAACUUUCGAUGUUUGGGUAUUGGCCAAACAUGGUUGCAACGGGUAACGGAGGGUUAGGGCUCGACCCCGGAGAAGGAGCCUGAGAAACGGCUACUACAUCCAAGGAAGGCAGCAGGCGCGCAAAUUACCCAAUCCCGACUCGGGGAGGUAGUGACAAUAAAUACUGAUACAGGGCCCUUUCGGGCCUUGUAAUUGGAAUGAGUACAAUUUAAAUCCCUUAACGAGGAACAAUUGGAGGGCAAGUCUGGUGCCAGCAGCCGCGGUAAUUCCAGCUCCAAUAGCGUAUAU
rnacentral:rRNA from 1 species